CUGAGUACCUGCUAAUGGCAGAGAGCAAAUUGUCUGCAGGCGGCCGGAGUCAGGGCGGGAGCGCCUGUAGCCCCCAGCAAGCGAGAGCCUCCCGUCUCCCUUUCCCCGUUCCCCGUCUCGUCCGCUCCGCCGCUGGGCGCAGCUGACCUACUUUUUCUGCAUUUCUCUCUACUCUGCCCCGACCCCUCCCACGCGUGGGGCUCGAAGGCUUUUAACCUCUCGGAGCACACCAGCCGCGGCUCCCCGAUCCCGGCCGGCCCCGGGGCUUGGAGCCGAGGGCGCGGGGAUGCGGCGGACGCGGGGCGCGGCUCGUCGGGCUGGGCCUCAAACCAACCUAUGCCCGCAGUACCACCCGCCGGGCGGCGUGCGGACACGGACCGGCCGCAUCGGGCUGAACCAUCUCUUCUGUCUGCUCUCCUAUUGCCCCAAGCUUCCCCAGGACUAGUGUCGACUCGGCUCAUCGUGAUUCUCCUCCAUUUCUACUAUUAACGAACCUAUAACAAAUCAAAUAAUAACUGUAAUGAAAUACGAAGUACCUAGAAUUCACAGAAAUGGCGCUGUUCGCAUUUCUGUACAAUGCAGCUCCACCUUCCUGCAAGGGGCAGGUCAUCAAAGCGUUUUUGAGAGGCUCUGCCCUUUGUGCCUCAUGCUCUGGCACCUGGUGUGGGAAAGGCUGUGUUACGGUGACAAAACACGUCUGACACGGCAUGCGCUGAAUACUGGCUUGGUGUGAAAAGCACAUGUGCUGUACCAGUCAGCUGGUGCUCUGAUUUCUGCUGCCUCCUCUGCCUCCCAGGAUAGUUUUGCUAUUCUGCUCCAGGCUUCCUGCCCCGGUUUCCUCUAUUUCUUCCUGCCAGCUCUCAUCCUGCUUCUACAUACCGAAUCCUCCAGCCAGAAUCCUUCUUAUGUUGCUUUCAGUAGGGUUGUGGGCAGAGACUGGGCAGAUGGGGAUCCUGGCUGAGACCACAGCCCAUAGGAUCUGAGUAGCCACUUCCCAGACUGAGGCAGAGAAGAACAUCAAAGGAGGAAGAGGAUGUAACAUGGAAGGAAGGAGAAGACUGCAGGGAGAGACUUUCACCCUGCAAACAAGUCAGUUCAGAGGGACGUGGGAUGUGUGGUUCAUCCUUUUGAGAACAUCUGGGACAGACCUGCCAAAUUUGUCAGAAUAGAUGUGAUUGAUGAACCUUAGAUUGGGAUGUAAAGGGGUUUUUAAGGUAUGUGUGAUUAAGCUUCACCAGGCUGAAAAUGGAUGAAAUAUCCAUUUGCUAUCCUUUUGAAAGGCAAAAAUAUAAAUCUAUGCAUUAUUCACAGGCAGGAGGCUUAAAAUGAUGAGUGAAUGUUUUAGUUUCACCUGGGAUACAGUCAAUUUUCUUUUUAGUAGUUGUGGUUUGAAUUCAUUGUGAUAGUAAUGUUGAUAACACACAUAUGUUUUGGUUGUUGCUAAGUAGUGCUAACCCUAAGUCAAGGACAGCUGGCCUGAACUGGUAGAAUGUGAUGCCCAGUGUAAACUGGGGAAGUUGGCUGGGAGCUGCUGAUCUCUGCUGGGAGAUGGGUUGGGCAACUGUCAGCAGAUGGUGAGCAACAGAGUUGUACAUCAUUUGUCUUUCUUGGGUUUUAGCUCUCUCUCUGUUUCUGUUGACUCCACUUUAAAUAUAUAGUUAGUGCUGUAUUUAUGUUAUUAUUAUAUUUUAUUUCAGUUAUCAAACUGUUAUUAUGUAAACCCAACUCCACUGGUGUAAACCCCCUUUUCCACUGGUAUUAGGGUGCAGUAAGUAAAUGGCAGUGUGGUACUUAGUUGCCUACUGGGGCUAAACCAUGGCAGGGAAAAAGAAUGAUUUUUGCUUUUAAAAUGUCAUUUUUAACCUUGGUAUGUUUGAGACUUUGGUUGUGACAUCUCUUGAGAAAUAAAGACUGCAUAUGAAAUGGGGCCUCUUGGGAAAACAAAAGGACUCAGGCCUAGGACUGAAGCUGAAGAAGGGUGUCGAAGAUCAAAGCAGAUCAACAGCAUCACCUGCAAGAUGAGCCUGCUCAGCUUCCUCUCCAGUGAAUGUGAACACAGAGCAUUCACCAAAAUAUUUAACAGAGAGAGAGUGCUUUCCCUGGAAGUCUUUGAGAAACCUGAACAACCAUUAUGGGGAGGCUGAGGUACAGAGGAAAAAUGAGGUGUCUCCCCAUAAGGCGAACAGAGUCUCAGAGAUAAGUAAUACUGGAAUGCUGACUUCUGCUCUGUACUAGUUCUGUUGGGUAAAAAGCUGGGGAGGGGGAAAGGUAGUUCUUAAGGCCAUAUUGCUCUGGAGAAGACAGGAAAUUAAAUUGUUUGAAAUAUGCCUCUUUUUCCUGUUAAAACCUCCAGUUUUAGCAAUAGGGUUUUAAUGGUCACCACAAGGAAGGUUUCAGCUAACAUUGGUAGCACAGACAGCCACCUUCUGUUUCUCCACUGACCACAAAAUGCAAACCCUAAGAGGUUUGUACGCAACAAUGAGGCGAGAGCUGCCCUGCCUUGGUGCUGGGUGGUAUUUACAGCUACAGCUACAGAAAUAUGAAUAAGGUGUGCUCCAGAGGGGCGUCUAUCGCCAUCAGUUAUGAAUACCACAGCAGGAAGGAGAACUAAAACCAGCAUGCACCUUCUUUUGUUUGUGAUGGGGGGCAAGCAUAGCCACAAGCUCAAGAUUUGUGAGAGAGAGAGUUAUUUGUAAUUAAUAGCAAGUAGAAGUUCUAAAUUGAGGCAACUGUAUGUUGACCACAGCACAGCUGUGGGGCUAUCAGCACUGCCAGCAUGGCCAGGGCUUGACUUUGUCUGGCAUGGGAAACAGGUGGCUAAAAAAGAGAUGACACUGCUGCAUGUGUGUAUGUGAAGUGGCUGGCCAAUGGGCAGGAUUUCCAGCACUUUUUUCCCUACUAGAAGAGAAGUGGAAAAAAAAAAAACCCAGAUCAAAUAGACUUACGGACACAAAGAGGUAUUGCAAUGCACCAAUAGCCCCAUCCUCAAACCCCCUGAAAAAUCAGUAGCUCAAUGUUCCGUCUGGGCCUACCCUCCUCAGCCCAGUAAACUCCAAGCCUGUGCACAGCUGGUCUGGUCUAAGUCAGUGUCACUGACUAGGGGCAAAAAACCACAGAUCUUUGGAAGGUACUUUCACAUAAAUUGCUUCCAAUGAAUUAUUUACAGUUUACAUUAGCAGCCACACUCUACAUAAUAUCAUUAAAUUUUACAAGGCUGUGAAUGAACAGCUGCAUCUUACAUGGUAUUUUUUCAUCUUUGCAAGUAAGACACUGGUUCUUUCAAGGUUGCUCCCUAGGAAAGUAACAUUAUUUUUUCAUCCAGCCAUAGGGAAUGCUGCCAUUACUUCCUUGAAAAAUUGUACAUCUCUUUACUGUGAAGAAUUAACAGUAUUUCUUAAAAGCUGGUUUACUUUGGCCUUACAGGUAAGGUGUGUGUGGGGAAGCAUGCUCUUGAAAUAAUUCAGCAGAUGAGUUUAUUUCAUAGUUUUGGUUACAGGUUACAGUGAUAUUGACUCAUGGCAUGGGAAUUUUCUGUAGAAUACCUGUGUUGGAGAAAACUCCCUUGCCUUCAUUGUCGUGUUAACGAGGGAACUUCCGAAACUGUUAGAGCAAAGGCUCCAGGUGCUGCCCCUGCUUAGAGACUGGAGAUGCUUUAAGCUUGGGCAAACAGCCUAGUGGGGUUAUGGUGUUGAACACAGUUUUGCUUACAUGCAAGCUGACACAGCACAAGGAGAGUUGGUACUGCAAUCUGAUUGGAUUUACAACUCUUUCUUGUAGAGGGGCUAAGGUAGGCAGGGUCUUCUGCAAUGGGCUAGAAAGGAGUCUGUUCCAUAGACACACUCAGCUGAAUGUGAAGAUCAGUGAGAAAUGAAGUAAAAUAAUUAUUUUCCUGUACUAAUAAGUGUGGAAAAGUUUAUUAGAAUCCAUACAUCUUUGUGCCAAUGACUGGAUAAAGCUGGCAUGGCAGAUGUACCUGGAGCAAUUGUGUAGCAGCCACACUUGGGCAUUUGCCGGACUCUUAACCUCUCGCAGAUUUAAAACUAAGAGACGGGGUCUGGCAGUUCCGUCAUGUCUUGAAACACCUUUACAGCAGAAGUGAUAUGCCUGUACUUCCCAUUAUGAGCCCUCCUUCUUGAAGAGAACCGAUGCAAGGAUUUCCAAACCAGAGGAGAAAUCAAAAAAGCCAACGUGUCACUUGGGAGAGAAGAUGAUGGACAGGGAAAGAUGCCCUAGGGCACUGCCAAGCUGCCUUUUCCCAAACUGUCUCUCAGGUUUGUAAUUUGUUUCUGACUUAAGGGACAACAUCCAAAUGUGAUUUGUUGAUUGUCAAAUGACAAGAGAUUAUGUGGCUGCUCUUCUGAUUUCUCUUCCUAGUAAGCAAGGAUUCCCAUAGGACACCCACUGCUGCUAAGCAGAAGUAAGCAAUACUCCCUGGGACAAAAUGUAGCUUUCCUCUAGCUCCCCGUAACACUUAGCUCAUGGCAGUUAAUGCCAUUAGUCAGAGACCUCCAGUUAAAGUGUCGUAAAAUGUUAAUUAUAAUAAGGCUCUCAAUGUCUCUCCCCAGGUGUACCUACUCAAGAUGGUGCUGAAGUCCUCUUGGGCAGGGAUUGUGGUGACAGAAUGAGAAAGAUAUUUUGUUUGUGGUGUGGAGAAGAUUAAUUAGAAAAUUUCUCACAUUAUUGGUGAACCUAAUUAAUUUGUUUAGUUUAGAAGAGAGUCCUGAUUACACCUGGAAAAGAAAAGCCUGAGAGCAAAUUAUGGGUAAUUUGAUACAAGACCACUUAAGUUUAUGGUUACAUGGCAACUGCGUGUUUUGCUGCCUUUUGAGUAAGGGUAGUGACUAAGACCUGGGCAGGGGGAGCAGCACAGAAUAUCUGUGGGUCAGAAACUGCCUUGUUCUGGUUUCAUGGGAGGAAGUCCUGAUGAUUUCAGGGAAUAAAAGAGAAUGUUGCCAUGGAAGGAGACUCACUGGUUGUUCCCUAUUACUAAGCAAAUUAUGUCUGGAAAUCACCUUUCCAAUGAUUCAAACCUUAGCUGCUUGCCCUAUGUCUAAACUCUAUUACACAGUAUUAAUAAGCGUCUUUCUUAAUUCUGUCUGUGGGUUAAUAAAUAAGUAAAUUUUGUCAGAUGUUAUGCAGACAAACUUAUAUGAGCUAUAAGUUUCUAUGACUUUCUACACCUGUCUACACCUGCUCUUUGUGAAGAUGUAUUUCAAAAGCCGUUUUCCCACCAGUGAUAUAUGGGAUAUAUGCUACAAACUGAUGCCUUGAUUGAAUCAGCUGUUGGAGGUGGGAGUUACAGGAAAUCCUUAGGGUUGUGUGAACAGGCACAUUGGUGAAACUAUCAAAGAAAAGAGUAAUAUAAAGAAAGUCUAUAUCUUUAAUACUGCUCAGAGCUGUGCUCCUUGUCCCAAAGAUUAGUCUGCCUUUGGAACUACUGUCUGAAUUUGAAGAGAAGCCUUAUCAAGCUAAACCAAGCUAAACUCAUGCCUUUUAUUUUGCAGCAUCUCCUUUCUUAUAACACAUUUACUAAACCUUUCACUUUUAUGUAAUAAAUAUGUUGUUAGAUCUGGUUAUCUAUUGCCUGUUGCUAUGAUUGCCUGGGAGGCUAGCACAGCUUCCCGUGGGUUCACCAAUGCUGGAAAGUUCCCCUGAGGUUUUUGGGGCAUUCCUUCCCUUAGUUGCCAAGCGCAGUCUGGCUUUUGGCAGCACAGGUUGGGGGAGCAGGGCCUUCUGGGCAUGUGCUGUUCCAUGCCACUGCAACGUGCAGCAGGGCAUGGGCACAAGGCCUGGGAUUCUCCAUGGAGCUGCGAGGUCAUAUGUGAGCAUCUGGUUGUUUUGAGUGCUCAAACAGGGGUUCUGUAGUGAAACAAAGGAAAAGUGAAAUCUCUUCUAGGACUUCUGCUAAUAUAACAGGGAAGUUUUUUGUAUAAAAUAUUUUCUUUUGGCUGUAUUGGCAAUCAUUGGCUUUUUGCCAAAUUGAGCUUGCAUCUAGAGGUUUUGCCAUUGUAAAUGUGUCAGACUGGGAAUGAAAAAGAAAACAAAGCUGUAUUGACUGUACCUUUCAGCACUUUCUAUGUGUGAUGAGGAAUCACACACUGAGAUGGGAGGUAAGAGACUCAAGGCUACAUUCUGCUCCAGCUGUACAGAGACAAUAUGCUGAAGAACAAUAAAGUGGAGCAGUUUGCUUAGAAAAAAACUCUCAGGGCUGUGUGUGUGUGCCCCUAGACUUUUGGAAAGUUAUAGCAUUAAGUCAUGGAGAAGAGAAAGGAAGACACAUAUGCUUCUGAAAAAUGGCCUCUUUAGUGUCUGGUCCAGGAAAAAUAUUGUGCAAUGCAGGUAAUGAAUACUUUGCAUUUACAAUAUCAAAUGAUGAAAACUCAGCUCUUACAAAACUCAGACUGAGACUGGGUUGUGUAAGAGAACAGACUUGACAUUACACAUGAUCUGAUCAUGAGUAGUAAGUUGUACACGUAGUUCCAUAUUUCUAUAGAUCAGGGAUUGGUAGCAGAUUGUAUCCUGCCCCAUCAAACUUUCAUGCAGUUAGUAGAGUGUUGUAGUGCAUUAAUUUGGUCUAUAUUGUGUUUCAUUUUUAUAUUGGGGUUUGUAAUGUUUUUCUACUGUAUCCCCUUGGAAACUGUAUCACGUGGUUUGUCCCUGCUCAGCCGCACCCAGCCCCCACACUGGAAUGUAACCCAACUCUGUUCCCCUCCCACCUUAUCCCUGAUUGGGCAGUGGCUUGUCCCUGCCUCUGGGCCUGUCCCCCCUGGGAAAAAGCCCUGGGACCACAGAGGGCCCGGUCUCCCUGGCGCCAGGGGGGACGGGAAAGGAGCUAAGUAAGAGCUCCGGCCAGCGGGGGUCCGACCCCAGAAUAAAGCCGUGAUAUCCCCCCUGCGAGAGAGCAGGCUCUGUGCCUUUUGCCAUCGACGGUCAUCUGGGUCUCUUAAAGAACCACCACAGUAGAGUUAGGUGGUGUGAGACAAGUUCUGUCAGGAAGAUUUGGCAAGCAGAGUCUCCAACUGUUCUGAGCCUUGCAGCAUCAGCUUCAGUGUUUGUGACAUGCAGAAUUUUGAUCUAAAAAAUUUGAAGUGUUCAGGUUUGCACAGAGUCUGAAAGUCUUUUGCAGUCUUACCUUUAUGCCAUAGUUUAAAUCUUUGAGUAGGAUCGCAAUAAAAGACAAAUGUCAAGUCUUUGUAUAAGCAUUAUUAGUCUUCAUUGGAUAUGUAAUGUAUAUAUUAAAGUCUGAAGAUAUUCUACCUACUUCAAAGUGUCAAACCCAUGUCAAAACUUACAUCAUGCUAUUUAGUUGCUAUAACUGUUCCAUACCAACUGUAGUAAUUCCAUUUCAAAUAUAUUCUUUUCAAUGCAGAACUAACAUGACUGUAAGGCAUAGGGGUUUUCUUGCUAAUUCAGUUGCUAAAGAUCUAGCUGUUCUGUACCUACUAGCACUCCUGAAAUGUUUAUAAUCAUACCAAGCUGAACAGCCAUAACGUGCUCAGGAACACAACCAAAAAGAGCCGACACUGGCCUGUAUAUUUAGUGGAGAUAUUUCUGUAAACAGAGAAGGAAAUCAAGUGUCCAGGUGUUUGGGAAGAAGUUUCUUAAGUUAUGGAACUCACUGCUGCCCAGUGGAAGUCGGUGAAGCUAUGACAGCUCAUUCCCUGCAGCAUAUCUGCUUUUUGGCUUCUACAAAUGUGUCUUUGUAUGGAUAAUGUGGCACAAGCUGAAUGUGGCCAUCCACAGUGACUAAUGUCCCCACAAGGGAAUAGAACACCGCUGUCAAAACCAUAGCUUUUGCAAAGUUACUGCGUGCUGCGUAUGAACAGGUUUCUUUUUGGCAAUGCAAUAUAAUGAUGCCACAGCCUGCAUUUAGACUCUAUUUCUUAUAAUCUGUUUCUUCUUAAAAGUUCUCAAAUUACAUCAGUGGUAAAACUCCUAUUGCCUGAGAGGAGCUAUCUGGCCAAACCAGAAUACAUUUAAAAACUUCAGCAUAUAUCCUUACAGAUAAGAAUAUGAAAUCACCUUUCAAGGUGUUGGCAUUGAAGACCCCAGCAUGCCUCUAGGCAUGAUUCAGGCCUCUGACAGGAACACUAUUAAAUAAGUUCAGGAAAGAUUUCAGUACUCAUCUUCACAUCUUUAUAUGGAUUUACUGUUACUAAUGGAUUUUCUGAAGCAGAUAAUUUUGCCAGCAUACAGAAAUGAAUUUGGCCCUAAAAGAAAAAGGGUAAACCCCAAAGUUAUAAACCAUAACUACUUGCAAUGAACUUGUAAAGGAAAACCGUUUGCUGUCCUUUGUUCAAAACACAGGUAAUUUCUCUAAAUUGAUUUCUACUUAUUUUCUUGUGCCUGUUGGUUAUGAUAUGAAGGAACAGAAUCAAAGUAAGGGUUAAAAGACUUAGGCAAGGCAUUAAAGCAGAGAUAGUGAAAUGCUGGGACAGAUUGCCUGGAGAAGGCAUUGAAUCCCCACUACUGGUGUUUGAUGUUUGUCUUAUCUCUUGUAAAAUAAAAAAAAGCAUUUGUAGAGAAUG